CAUAGCGACUAUCGUGGCAUAUCAAUAAGCGGAGGAAAAGAAACUAACUAGGAUUCCCUCAGUAACGGCGAGUGAAGCGGGAAGAGCUCAAAUUUGAAAUCUUCAAGGUUUUACCUUGACGAAUUGUAGUUUAAAGAAGUGUUUUCUGUUGGUGUUUUGGUAAAAGUUCUUUGGAAUAGGACAUCAUAGAGGGUGAGAAUCCCGUAUUUGACCAUUAUUUCCAGCUGUGUGAUACACUUUCAAAGAGUCGGAUUGUUUGGGAAUGCAGUCCAAAAUGGGUGGUAAAUUUCAUCUAAAGCUAAAUAUUGGCGAGAGACCGAUAGCGAACAAGUACCGUGAGGGAAAGAUGAAAAGAACUUUGAAAAGAGAGUUAAACAGUACGUGAAAUUGUCAAAAGGGAAGCGUUUGACACCAGUGUUGUUUUUCUCGAAAAUCAAUUAAGAAUGCUGAUUUUGUGUUGGAGUAUUGACUUUAUCAGGCUUUCUGCCACUUUCUUUCCUGUAACUUUUUUAAUGCACCUUUUCGGUUAACAAGUCAACAUCAAUUUCUUUUGUUGUAAAAGGGUAUGAGGAAGGUGGCUUUCUCUUUCGGCGCAAAGUGUUUAUAGCCUUGUAGCCUCUGCAAUCGGAGAGAUUGAGGUCUGCAGCGUAGAUCCUUCGGGGUUAGAUACAGUUUGUCGCUAAGCUAUAGCUUUUUAUAGACAACUUGUUGACUAUAGUUAAGUCUUGUAGCUUACUCGCUUAUGCUAUUUUACCUACGCUUAGGAUGUUGAUAUGCAUGACUGAUAU
rnacentral:rRNA from 1 species